GGCAUGGUAGCUUAGUGGGUAUAGCGCUUAUAGCGAUUUACUGGGUAUCAAAUAUCGAUGGUUCGAAUCCAUCCCGGCGCUA